rnacentral:rRNA from 1 species
AUUGAACGCUGGCGGCAGGCCUAACACAUGCAAGUCGAGCGGAGCGGCGGACGGGUGAGUAAUGCCUGGGAAUCUGCCUGGUAGUGGGGGAUAACGUCCGGAGACGGGCGCUAAUAAAGCAUACUAGCAGAUGAGCAUAGGUCGGAUUAGCUAGUUGGUGGGGUAACGGCCGACCAAGGCGACGAUCCGUAACUGGUCUGAGAGGAUGAUCAGUCACACGCGAACUGAGACACGGUCCAGACUCCUACGGGGGGCAGCAGUGGGGAAUAUUGGACAAGGGGCGAAAGCCUGAUCCAGCCAUGCCGCGUGUGUGAAGAAGGUCUUCGGAUUGUAAAGCACUUUAAGUUGGGAGGCGUUACCAACAGACUAAGCACCGGCUAACUUCGUGCCAGCCGCCGCGGUAAUUC